rnacentral:rRNA from 1 species
GGGGGAUGCCUUGGCUCUCAGAGACGAUGAAGGACGUGAUAAGCUGCGAUAAGCUGCGGGGAUUAGCACAUAUGAAUUAAUCCGCAGAUUUCCGAAUGGGACAACCCGGCCAGUUGAAGACUGGUCAUCCCGCCUCGGCGGGAAGUUAACCCAGGGAACUGAAACAUCUAAGUACCUGGAGGAAGAGAAAACAAUAGUGAUUCCGUAAGUAGUGGCGAGCGAACGCGGA